UACGAAGGUGGCAAGCGUUACUCGGAAUUACUAGGCGUAAAGGGCAGGUAGGUGGUUUGGUAAGUCUGUUGUGUAAGCUCCCGGCUUAACUGGGAGAGGUCAGCGGAAACUACCAAACUUGAGUAUAGGAGAGGGCACUGGAAUUCCCGGUGUAGCGGUGAAAUGCGCAGAGAUCGGGAGGAACACCAAUGGCGAAAGCAGGUGCCUGGACUAUUACUGACACUCAGCUGCGAAAGCUAGGGGAGCAAAC
rnacentral:rRNA from 1 species